rnacentral:rRNA from 1 species
UACGAAGGGGGCUAGCGUUGUUCGGAAUUACUGGGCGUAAAGCGCACGUAGGCGGGUUGUUAAGUCAGGGGUGAAAUCCUGGAGCUCAACUCCAGAACUGCCUUUGAUACUGGCAACCUAGAGACUGGAAGAGGUUAGUGGAAUUCCCAGUGUAGAGGUGAAAUUCGUAGAUAUUGGGAAGAACACCGGUGGCGAAGGCGGCGAGCUGGUCCGUUACUGACGCUGAGGCGCGACAGCGUGGGGAGCAAACAGG